rnacentral:lncRNA from 1 species
AAAUUACUUCUUUCAAGAACGAGUUCAUGUCCUUUGCAGGGACAUGGAUGAAGCUGGAAGGCACCAUUCUCAGCAAACUAACACAGGAACAGAAAACCAAACACCGCAUGUUUUCACUCAUAAAUAAUACAUGAAGCAAGGCACAGUGGCUCACACCUGCAAUCCCAGCACUUUGGAAGGCCGAGGCGGGUGGAUCACCUGAGGUCAGGAGUUCAAGACUAGCCUGGGCAACAUGGAGAAACCCCGUCUCUACUAAAAAUACAAAAAUUAGCUGGGUGUGAUGGUGCGAGCCUGUAAUCCCAGCUACCUGGGAGGCUGAGGCAUGAAAAUCUCUUGAACCUGGGAGGGGAGAUCACGCCACUGCCCUCCAACCUGGGUGACAGAGCGAGGCUCCAUCUCAAAAAAAAAAAAAAAAAAAAAAAAAGAAUACAUGAAAAGUUCCCAAAUCAUAAAUCAAAAAAAAUUAUUGAAAGUUUAUUUACAACUAACAUCUCAUUUGCCCGUAAGUCUCCAUUUCUCCUUAUACGCACUGCAGAUAACAAAACCA